UACGUAGGGGGCAAGCGUUGUCCGGAUUUAUUGGGCGUAAAGAGCUCGUAGGCGGUUCAGUAAGUCAGGUGUGAAACCUCCAGGCUCAACCUGGAGACGCCACCUGAUACUGCUGUGACUGGAGUCCGGUAGGGGAGCGUGGAAUUCCUGGUGUAGCGGUGAAAUGCGCAGAUAUCAGGAGGAACACCAGCGGCGAAGGCGGCGCUCUGGGCCGGUACUGACGCUGAGGAGCGAAAGCGUGGGUAGCAAACAGG
rnacentral:rRNA from 1 species